AUACUAUCAUUAGUUUUUAUAGUUUAAAAAAAACAUUGGUCUUGUAAAUCAAAAAUAAGUUUAA
rnacentral:tRNA from 1 species